CUCGAGGACGAACGCUGGCGGCGUGCCUAACACGUGCAAGUCGAGCGAGGAGAUCCUCGGGAUGAUCCUAGCGGCGGACGGGUGAGUAACACGUGGGCAACCUGCCUCAUAGAGAGGAAUAGCCUUCCGAAAGGGAGAUUAAUACCUCAUAACAUUGCAGUUUCGCAUGGAACAGCAAUUAAAGGAGUAAUCCGCUAUGAGAUGGGCCCGCGGCGCAUUAGGCUAGUUGGUGAGGUAACGGCUCACCAAGGCGACGAUGCGUAGCCGACCUGAGAGGGUGAUCGGCCACAUUGGGACUGAGACACGGCCCAGACUCCUACGGGAGGCAGCAGUGGGGAAUAUUGCACAAUGGGGGAAACCCUGAUGCAAGCAACGCCGCGUGAGUGAUGACGGCCUUCGGGUUGUAAAGCUCUGUCUUCAGGGACGAUAAUGACGGUACCUGAGGAGGAAGCCACGGCUAACUACGUGCCAGCAGCCGC
rnacentral:rRNA from 1 species